GGAGACGUGGGUGAGUGGCUGAAACCAGCGGUUUGCUAAACCGCCGUACGGGGAUUCCCGUACCGAGGGUUCGAAUCCCUCCGUCUCCGCCA
rnacentral:tRNA from 1 species